CUCUUUUCCAAAUUCAAACAACAAAGGCAUUGCUGUGCGCCUCGCGUUUUGGAACCUGCAAUGAGCUUUCUAUCUGAUCCGGGCCUUAGGUCCUAUCCAGGAGUGUCACGGUGACCCCUUUCACUGCAUGUGUGUAGUCAGCUGCUUUUGCACUAUGCACUUUAAUUUUGAGUUAGCAUGUGUUUCAUCGGUACUGCACUGACCUUUUGUGGGAUUCUGCUGUCUAAUUUUCCCCAGCUUCAGUAGGCUGCAUCACCAACCUGGUUCAUAACUACUUUUGUGUGUAUUAUUUUUAAUAAAAAUAUAUUUUAGAUUACA